rnacentral:rRNA from 1 species
AUGAACGCUGGCGGCGUGCCUAAUACAUGCAAGUCGAGCGAACAGACGAGGAGCUUGCUCCUCUGACGUUAGCGGCGGACGGGUGAGUAACACGUGGAUAACCUACCUAUAAGACUGGGAUAACUUCGGGAAACCGGAGCUAAUACCGGAUAAUAUAUUGAGCCGCAUGGUUCAAUAGUGAAAGACGGUUUUGCUGUCACUUAUAGAUGGAUCCGCGCCGCAUUAGCUAGUUGGUAAGGUAACGGCUUACCAAGGCAACGAUGCGUAGCCGACCUGAGAGGGUGAUCGGCCACACUGGAACUGAGACACGGUCCAGACUCCUACGGGAGGCAGCAGUAGGGAAUCUUCCGCAAUGGGCGAAAGCCUGACGGAGCAACGCCGCGUGAGUGAUGAAGGUCUUCGGAUCGUAAAACUCUGUUAUUAGGGAAGAACAAAUGUGUAAGUAACUAUGCACGUCUUGACGGUACCUAAUCAGAAAGCCACGGCUAACUACGUG